rnacentral:rRNA from 1 species
GGAAGUAAAAGUCGUAACAAGGUUUCCGUAGGUGAACCUGCGGAAGGAUCAUUAACGAGUCUUGACACGGGUUGCAGCUGGCCUUUCUUGCGAGAGGCAUGUGCUCGCUCUUGCUCAAUCCACUCUACACCUGUGCACUUACUGUGGGUUUUUGGUCGGGGAGGUGUUGCGCUCCGGCGUGGCUUCUUUAAAGGCCUUGACCCACGUUUCACUACAAAACACGAUGUAUUAGAAUGUCUAUUGCGAUGUGACGCAUUUAAAUACAACUUUCAGCAACGGAUCUCUUGGCUCUCGCAUCGAUGAAGAACGCAGCGAAAUGCGAUAAGUAAUGUGAAUUGCAGAAUUCAGUGAAUCAUCGAAUCUUUGAACGCACCUUGCGCUCCUUGGCAUUCCGAGGAGCACGCCUGUUUGAGUGUCAUGAAAUUCUCAACCUGCAAGAUCCUUGUGGUCUUUGUAGGCUUGGACUUUGGAGGCUUUUGUCGGCGAUUGUCGACUCCUCUCAAAUGCAUUAGCUUGGUUCCUUGCGGAUCGGCUUUCGGUGUGAUAGUUGUCUACGCCGUGACCGUGAAGCGUUUUGACUAGCUUCUAAUCGUCUCGUUCGAGACUCAUUCUUCAUUGACAUCUGACCUCAAAUCAGGCGGGACUACCCGCUGAACUUAAGCAUAUCAAUAAGCGGAGGAAA